AACAAACGCUGGCGGCGUGCCUAACACAUGCAAGUCGUACGAGAAAGUCGGCUUCGGCCGAUGAGUACAGUGGCGCACGGGUGAGUAGCGCGUGGGUAAUCUGCCCCCCGGUCAGGAAUAACCCGCCGAAAGGCGGGCUAAUACCCGAUAACACUGACGCUCCGCGGAGCGUCUUUCAAAGAAGGCCUCUGUUUACAAGCUUUCGCCGGAGGAUGAGCCCGCGUACCAUUAGCUAGUUGGCAGGGUAAUGGCCUACCAAGGCUACGAUGGUUAGCUGGUCUGAGAGGAUGGCCAGCCACACUGGAACUGAGACACGGUCCAGACUCCUACGGGAGGCAGCAGUGAGGAAUCUUGCGCAAUGGGGGAAACCCUGACGCAGCAACGCCGCGUGAGUGAGGAAGGCCUUCGGGUCGUAAAGCUCUGUCAGAUGGAAGGAAAUGGAUGGGGGCGUAAUAUCGCCCAUCCUUGACGGUACCAUCAGAGGAAGACACCGGCUAACU
rnacentral:rRNA from 1 species